rnacentral:rRNA from 1 species
AUCCCUACGGGGCGCAGCAGUGGGGGAUAUUGCACAAUGGGGGGAACCCUGAUGCAGCGACGCCGCGUGGGUGAAGAAGUAUUUCGGUAUGUAAAGCCCUAUCGGCAGGGAAGAAUUUAGACGGUACUUGGCUAAGAAGCCCCGGCUAACUACGUGCCAGCAGCCGCGGUAAUACGUAGGGGGCAAGCGUUAUCCGGAUUCACUGGGUGUAAAGGGAGCGUAAACGGCGACGCAAGUCUGGAGUGAAAGCCCGGGGCCCAACCCCGGGACUGCUCUGGAAACUGCGUCGCUGGAGUACGGGAGGG